UACCGGUCCCCCCGCGACGUGAAAUCGUGAACUCCGUCAGGCCCGGAAGGGAGCAGCGGUAACGAUGGAUACGGGUGCCGGGGUGUGGCUGGUACCG
rnacentral:SRP_RNA from 1 species